AUCCCUUUCGGGGACAUCCGAUAAAAUUGAAAUGAUACAGAAAAGAUUAACAUGACCUUUGUGCAAAGAUGACACGCACAAAUCGAGAAUCAUUUAGUCUUACA